ACGAACGCUGGCGGCGUGCUUCACACCUGCCAGUCGCACGCUGAAGCUCAGCUUUUGUUGGGUGGAUGAGUGGCGAACGGGUGAGUAACACGUGAGUAACCUGCCCCCUUCUUUGGGAUAACGCCCGGAAACGGGUGCUAAUACUGGAUAUUCACUGGUCUUCGCAUGGGGGUUGGUGGAAAGGGUUUUUCUGGUGGGGGAUGGGCUCGCGGCCUAUCAGCUUGUUGGUGGGGUGAUGGCCUACCAAGGCUUUGACGGGUAGCCGGCCUGAGAGGGUGACCGGUCACAUUGGGACUGAGAUACGGCCCAGACUCCUACGGGAGGCAGCAGUGGGGAAUAUUGCACAAUGGGCGCAAGCCUGAUGCAGCGACGCCGCGUGAGGGAUGGAGGCCUUCGGGUUGUGAACCUCUUUCGCUCAUGGUCAAGCCGCAACAAUGGUUGUGGUGAGGGUAGUGGGUAAAGAAGCGCCGGCUAACUACGUG
rnacentral:rRNA from 1 species